GAAACUGAUAGUCGCACCUUUAAAGACUCACGUCACAUCACAGCAACUAUUUAAGGACAAUGGAAGUUCAAAAAUUCCUCUUAAUCAUGCUGCAGUUGCUUUGCAUAAAGGGACGAGAUAAACAGUUUUCUCCUAUCUUGUGAACUAAGCGUGUUGUUUUGCCCGGACAGAGUGGAAGCGUGCCAGCCCAGUAUCCUUAACACACAUCCUGUUAUCUUCCAGGCUAACCGUGUCAACACAUAAAAGCUGGCUGCUCCGUCUUAUCACGGUGCGACUGAGUGGAGCGGAACCUCUCACUGGUGCCGUUGCCCCGCCAUCAGAGAAUUUGCCAUUUACAACAGCUCACAAUGAGCUGAUCAUGUGCUCUUACAAAUGAGCACCAAAGCCUGGUUGGGCUGGACGGCGGCCGUUUCACUGGAGGAAAUCCAAUUGAUCACUGUAAAAACGGUCCCACCCAGUUUAGAGCACACAUAAAACAGCAUGUUAACUGUGGGCUGCACACACACACAGGCUCUGCAGACGGGCGGCUGUCACGCUGACACACACUCGUUUUCCCUUUCCUUCACGAGGACUUGAACUCGUGUGAUCGCCAAAAAAGGUACGGAACGGGAAUUCUUAUCAAUGGGCUUAUCCGCGCCAGAUGUAUCAGUGAUGUCACGUCUGAUUUAUGGCAACAGGUUGUGGAAAAUGGGAAAUGAGCAAUCUGUGAGCGAAGAGCCGACGCAGACAGAGAAAAUUCCCGAGACGCACGAAAACGGCUCCGUGAACGGCCUGUCCGCAGGCGUCCUGGCUCCUGCUUCCGAGAUCAGCGUCACCGUUGAGCCCACAGUUGAGAAAAAUGGCGGCCCGCUUUUGUUGAGCCUCGCCGUAGAACCAAACGGGAUCGGUCAGGUGACAGAUGGAGGAGACGGAGAACAUGAAGGAGAACACAGAGGAGAACAUGAGGAAGAACACGUCGACGCUGCAGUCGUUAACGAGGCCAUUGAGAAGGUGGUUGAAGAGGUGAAGAAGAGCAAAGAAGAAAAAGUCAGUCGCUUCGGCAAGCUUUUCAAAAUGAAGCCUCACGUGAAGAACGUUCCUAAAGAGGAGAGCCCAGGUGAGAGUCCGGCAGGUGCCAGCACUCCUGAAGAGGAACCGCAGCAGGACACCACCCACCUGAUACCAGAAGCCCAACCGCCACCGGAGCCGGACAGCGCCAGCGUAGAGCCCAGUCCAGAGGAGGAAGGAGCUCCCGAGACCGACGACGGCAACACCCAACCUGAGCAAAUCCAAGAGGAGGACGACCCCGAAAAGAACUCAGUCAUGAACUUCUUCAAAACUCUGGUGACUCCCACCAAAACCGCCAAGAAGAGUUCAGCUGCUCCUGACGCCGCCAAAGAUCAGGUGGCACAGGUAUCGGAGCCCCCCGCAGCACCCAAAGGGAUGUCCGUCCCACCGCCGCCUCCUCCAGAACCCCCCAAAAUGGAAACCAAAGGAGAGACAUCUGCCAAGCCUGCAAAAACAACUCCAAAAGAAGAACCAGUAAAGGAGCCUGAGGCCUCAAAAGGGAAAUCAGCCAAAGAGGCUUUUGGCAAGUUCUUCCGUUCAAAGAAAGACAAGGAGCUCCCACAGCCAGAAGCUGUAGUUGAAGUACAACCAGUUGUAGAAGUGCAGGAGACACCAGUGGUGGAGGCAGAAGCAGUUGUAGAGAUCCAGCCGACGGUGGAAGAAGAACCACAGCCAGUGGCAGAAGAGGAGAAGGUGGAUCCUUCAAAAACGGGCACCUUGGAGGCCGCGCCCAAGCCUGAACCGCCACCGCCCGCCCAGGAGAAGAAACCUGCCUCCAAGUCAGGAUUCAUGUCCAUCUUCAAGUCCAAAGCUGCCGAUCCAAAGAAGGCCAGCCCAGCCCCCCCUGCCGCAGCUGAACCAGCCCCGGCUGUAAAAACCAAAGAGGAGCCGAAACCAGCAGCCAAGCCCUCAGAAACCCCUGCUGACAACAAAGCAGCUGUGACGGCUGCUCAGGCCGGGGAAGAUGCUCCCAGCGGCCCCAAGAAACUGGAGAAGAGGAACUCCAUCCAGCUCUUCUUCAAAAUUCGGAGUCAGAAGCGCAACUCCACAGAUGCUGGCAUCCAAACGGAACCACUCGCUGGUUCUGCAGCAGCUGAGAAGUCCAAAUGAAGCCAGAACCGCCAGUGAAGAUGGUGAAACGCUUGACUGAGGUCGUUGAAUCUGCUGCGGUCUGAAAAAGACGCAACUGUUGACAGAUAUAUAUUUUUUGGUGACAAAUGUCCUGAUAAAGUGUAGCUUGUGAAGACUUUUCUACAGACAUUUAAUGUGACUUUCUCUCUGUUUUUCCAACCUGACCAGUUGGGGUUAAGUCCUAGACAGGAGCGCGCUUUGUCUUUAGUUAAUCUGUCAGAAACACUUCAAACGUGCCGUUAAAAAUUAAAUUUGGCUUCAUAUAAUAUCAACAGGCUAAUGGGAAAUGAUCUUUAAAGUAGAAAUAAGGUCUUUGUGUAACAGAACACAUUUGCAUUUACUAUUUUUAACUUUGUAUGAGCUCUUAAGCUAACAGUCGUGUAAUUAUAUGACUCACUGUUCUGUGGGAAGCUGAUGGAAAUCGUUCACAAAUUCAACAGACAAACGUGUCCUUGUGAUUCCUGUCACCAAACUAACUAAAGUCUGAGUGCUUUUGUUUGCCUCCAUAUAACUUAUAUGUUGGUCCGGGCGUACGUGUGCAUAUGUAACUUCAGCCAUCAUGAAGACAAUAAAUAUGUUUACUGUUGUUUCUUCUUUGUUGGUGUGAUUCCACCCUUGAUUUAGUUUGUCUGAAUAGGAUAGAAGUGA
ensembl:lncRNA